GACGAACGCUGGCGGCGUGCUUAACACAUGCAAGUCGAACGGAAAGGCCCUGCUUUUGUGGGGUGCUCGAGUGGCGAACGGGUGAGUAACACGUGAGUAACCUGCCCUUGACUUUGGGAUAACUUCAGGAAACUGGGGCUAAUACCGGAUAGGAGCUCCUGCUGCAUGGUGGGGGUUGGAAAGUUUCGGCGGUUGGGGAUGGACUCGCGGCUUAUCAGCUUGUUGGUGGGAUAGUGGCUUACCAAGGCUUUGACGGGUAGCCGGCCUGAGAGGGUGACCGGCCACAUUGGGACUGAGAUACGGCCCAGACUCCUACGGGAGGCAGCAGUGGGGAAUAUUGCACAAUGGGCGGAAGCCUGAUGCAGCAACGCCGCGUGCGGGAUGACGGCCUUCGGGUUGUAAACCGCUUUCGCCUGUGACGAAGCGUGAGUGACGGUAAUGGGUAAAGAAGCACCGGCUAACUACGUGCCAGCAGCCGCGGUGAUACGUAGGGUGCGAGCGUUGUCCGGAUUUAUUGGGCGUAAAGGGCUCGUAGGUGGUUGAUCGCGUCGGAAGUGUAAUCUUGGGGCUUAACCCUGAGCGUGCUUUCGAUACGGGUUGACUUGAGGAAGGUAGGGGAGAAUGGAAUUCCUGGUGGAGCGGUGGAAUGCGCAGAUAUCAGGAGGAACACCAGUGGCGAAGGCGGUUCUCUGGGCCUUUCCUGACGCUGAGGAGCGAAAGCGUGGGGAGCGAACAGGCUUAGAUACUCUGGUAGUCCACGCUGUAAACGGUGGGUACUAGGUGUGGGGUCCAUUCCACGGGUUCCGUGCCGUAGCUAACGCUUUAAGUACCCCGCCUGGGGAGUACGGCCGCAAGGCUAAAACUCAAAGGAAUUGACGGGGCCCCGCACAAGCGGCGGAGCAUGCGGAUUAAUUCGAUGCAACGCGUAGAACCUUACCUGGGUUUGACAUGGAUCGGGAGUGCUCAGAGAUGGGUGUGCCUCUUUUGGGGUCGGUUCACAGGUGGUGCAUGGCUGUCGUCAGCUCGUGUCGUGAGAUGUUGGGUUAAGUCCCGCAACGAGCGCAACCCUUGUUCACUGUUGCCAGCACGUUAUGGUGGGGACUCAGUGGAGACCGCCGGGGUCAACUCGGAGGAAGGUGGGGAUGACGUCAAGUCAUCAUGCCCCUUAUGUCCAGGGCUUCACGCAUGCUACAAUGGCUGGUACAGAGAGUGGCGAGCCUGUGAGGGUGAGCGAAUCUCGGAAAGCCGGUCUCAGUUCGGAUUGGGGUCUGCAACUCGACCUCAUGAAGUCGGAGUCGCUAGUAAUCGCAGAUCAGCAACGCUGCGGUGAAUACGUUCCCGGGGCU
rnacentral:rRNA from 1 species